rnacentral:lncRNA from 1 species
UAUAAACCAGUGUUGUUUCAUUGGUCGGCUCUAUGGAAAUCUCAAAACAUAUCUGCAGAAUCAAAUAAACUAAUAUCCCCGCGCAAUAAUAGAAAAGCAUAUGUUCUAUCAGCAGAGAUACAAAACAGACACAAAUUAUCAUUCAUAACAGAAUGGGUUACUACGAAAAAUACAGCCUAUUCAUUAUCCACAUGUUCAGUAUUUGCACCAGGUUAAAAUUCCAAUUGCACUCCUCUGUAAUAUUGAUUCCCCACCGGGGCAGUAUCUAUACUUCCAAUGGUUAGUAUAGUAGCCAACAAAAUUAGAAAUGCAAUGAGAAGAAUCAAAACCUCUUCCAUCUUUCCGUACUUUGAAUCUCCAUGGCACCAUGUCUUCUAUGCUUCCUGCUGCCUCUUCCAAAAGCAGUUCAACCAAUUAUCUACAGAAAGCAGCAAUAUUUUUUUCAAACCGUCUAACUGUGAAGCUUGGUAGGUAUUUCAAAUGCAGCUAGCUAAUUUGAGUAUGAUGACAACCCUUAUACCUACACUGGAUUGAUUAAAAAAAGGAGCUAUGAAGAUAGAUCUACAACAAACAGCAAUGGUACACAGAUAUUCUGACUGGUGUAUUUAUCUUUUGAUUUGGUAUUGAAAAAUUGAAGGCCCGCAACCAGCAACCAAAAGGAUAAUUCAGAAUUGGAAGUCCGAAAUAUAUACCUGACUUUUACAAAGCCUUUCAUCAUCUCCGCCUAAUCCUGU